AGGUCGGUUGAGGGAGCCGGCGCUCCCCGCGGGCUGCAAACCCGUUGAGGAUAACUAUCGAGUAGUAUCCUGGUCGGUUCGACUCCGAAUCCGACCU
rnacentral:tRNA from 1 species